AUGGGCGAAAGCCUGAUGCAGCAACGCCGCGUGAGCGAUGAAGGUCUUCGGAUCGUAAAGCUCUGUCCUCAAGGAAGAAUAUUGACGGUACUUGAGGAGGAAGCCCCGGCUAACUACGUGCCAGCAGCCGCGGUAAUACGUAGGGGGCUAGCGUUAUCCGGAAUUACUGGGCGUAAAGGGUGCGUAGGCGGUCUUGCAAGUCAGAGGUGGAAGGCUACGGCUCAACCGUAGUAAGCCUUUGAAACUGUAGGACUUGAGUGCAGGAGAGGAAAGUGGAAUUCCCAGUGUAGCGGUGAAAUGCGUAGAUAUUGGGAGGAACACCAGUUGCGAAGGCGGCUUUCUGGACUGUAACUGACGCUGAGGCACGAAAGCGUGGGGAGCGAACAGGAUUAGAUACCCUGGUAGUCCACGCCGUAAACGAUGAGUACUAGGUGUCGGGGGUUACCCCCCUCGGUGCCGCAGCUAACGCAUUAAGUACUCCGCCUGGGAAGUA
rnacentral:rRNA from 1 species